UACGGGGGAUGCAAGCGUUAUCCGGAAUGAUUGGGCGUAAAGCGUCUGCAGGUGGCCCCGUAAGUCCGCUGUCAAAGGCCCGGGCUUAACCCUGGACAGGCAGUGGAAACUACGGGGCUUGAGUCUGGUAGGGGCAGAGGGAAUUUCCGGUGGAGCGGUGAAAUGCGCAGAGAUCGGGAAGAACACCAACAGCGAAGGCACUCUGCUGGGCCAAGACUGACACUCAGAGACGAAAGCCAGGGGAGCGAAUGGG
rnacentral:rRNA from 1 species